UACGUAGGGGGCGAGCGUUGUCCGAAGUUACUGGGCGUAAAGCGCGCGUAGGCGGUCAUUUAAGUCUGAGGUGAAAGGUUCAGCGCUCAACGUGAACAGUGCCUUGGAUACUGGGUGACUUGAGUUCGGGGAGGGGGCAGUGGAAUUCCAGGUGUAGCGGUGAAAUGCGUAGAUAUCUGGAGGAACACCGAUGGCGAAGGCAGCUGCCUGGUCCAGAACUGACGCUGAGGUGCGGAAAGCGUG
rnacentral:rRNA from 1 species